UAACGCGUGGGCAACCUGCCCCNUACAGGGGGAUAACAGCCGGAAACGGCUGCUAAAACCGCAUAAGCGCACAAGGGCCGCAUGGCCUGGUGUGAAAAACUCCGGUGGUAUGGGAUGGGCCCGCGUCUGAUUAGCUAGUUGGCGGGGGAGAGGCCCACCAAGGCGACGAUCAGUAGCCGACCUGAGAGGGUGGCCGGCCACAUUGGGACUGAGACACGGCCCAAACUCCUACGGGAGGCAGCAGUGGGGAAUAUUGCACAAUGGGGGAAACCCUGAUGCAGCGACGCCGCGUGAGCGAAGAAGUAUUUCGGUAUGUAAAGCUCUAUCANCAGGGAAGAAAAAUGACGGUACCUGAGUAAGAAGCACCGGCUAAAUACGUGCCAGCAGCCGCGGUAAUACGUAUGGUGCAAGCGUUAUCCGGAUUUACUGGGUGUAAAGGGAGCGCAGGCGGUGCGGCAAGUCUGAUGUGAAAGCCCGGGGCUCAACCCCGGGACUGCAUUGGAAACUACCGAACUAGAGUGUCGGAGAGGUAAGUGGAAUUCCUAGUGUAGCGGUGAAAUGCGUAGAUAUUAGGAGGAACACCGGUGGCGAAGGCGGCUUACUGGACUGUAACUGACGUUGAGGCUCGAAAGCGUGGGGAGCAAACAGGAUUAGAUACCCUGGUAGU
rnacentral:rRNA from 1 species